UUAGCCCUUGCAAUUUUUUUUUCUUCUCGAAUUCUUUAUUACAUGGUUUUUGUAUGUAUUUUCACACUUGAUUUUAUCCAAGUUAUGGUAACAAUUAUAUUAUUGCAUCAGAUAUUUCAUGUUUUCAAUAGUGUUAUAGUGUGCUGUUUGCUUGUUUAACUGAUUACAAUUUUAGUUAUAAAGUAUAAAGUAAAUGGUCAAUGCAAAUAAGAAUUAUGAAUGUCACUCCAGCGAUCAUUUUUGCAAUAAAAGACAAAGCGGAGGUCUUGCUUUUAUCAAGUAAAUAAUAAACUAACAGUUUAUAAAUGAGAAUGUCUUUACAUUGUGCAACAAGAAAUCAAUUGUUUUUUGUUUUUUUUAUUGAAGUUUAUUGUUUGGCUUGCUUCUUUGCUAACAUUUGUUUUAGUAGUUCGUUAAAAUAUUUGACAAAAAAGCGAUAAAUUUAUAUACUGCAGAUAUUUUAAAUAAAUGUUUUUUCUCCUUAACUUUCAAAUUAUGGAAUCAUUAGACGGGAUCGAUCUGCAAAUGUAAGUUUAAUAAAAUGUUUCAAAGUACUUUUUGUUUUAUGCUAUUUGUUUUUGGUUUGGCGCUGUCAAUAUUUCAGUUUUAGCUCUAUGUGUCUUUGGCGUGGCUCUUGGUUUUACCUCAAGCGAAGGUAACAGAUUCAAAUUCGCAUCUGUUGAUUUAAGUUUUUAAUCCUAUUGAGGUGUGAUGCUUCUUUGCUUUAAUAGUUUAUAUUUUAGCUAUAAAGUAUAAGAUAAAGACUAGCUAUAGCUAUAAAGUAUAGAUGUAAAAUAUGGAAAAGAAACAUUAAACUCACUGAUUGCCAAAAUUUGUAAGCUUCUUUUUAAUUAUAUGUAAAACGU